CAACUGUGUUCAAAACUGUUAUGCAUGCUGGAGUAUUAAAAGGCUGUUGAAUUGUACUUUUUAUUUACUUUCACAUACACUGUGUUCACAGAAACAUUGCCCGGAUCCUGUCCCCUGGACCUUGGAGGACUUAAGGGCCAACCAAAGCAAGGUUUCUCAAACAACUGUGGGGUGCUUGUUUUGAUGCACGCUCUGUACAUCGCACAGUGUGAUUUCACCGAGGAUGAUGUAGACGACGACUCCCCCUCCCAAAAAGAAGUCACAGCAUGUCACAUCAGCAUCCAGCUCUGCAGGAUCAGGAAGCAGAUGUUCUUCUAAGGGACACCCUAGAGGCAGCAAGGUGGUGCGAACUCCAAACAUUUAAAGGCACUGUUUCCCUCCUUAGUGUAAUUGGGAUGGACGGGGAAGACAGCAACUACGGUUGUAUGAUGGCCUGGAUGAAGAGGAAAAUAUUCUCCUCAAGGAACCAUUCAUGUUCCAGUUACAGAGAGAUGAUUAGAUGUUUUUGGUGGAGGAAGCUGAUGUUCUAUGUGGAGGAAGUUGACAACAAGAAAAUGACUGUCUUUGCCUCUUUUGAAGAGAAAGAGUGAAGCCAUUAUUGAGGAGUGGUCAAACCUGUUUUUUGUCUGAUGUGUUAAUUGUUUCGAUUGUUAAUUGUGUUUGUUGUUUAGUAAAGAUGACGUAGAAGUCA